rnacentral:lncRNA from 10 species
CAUUCUUGCUGGUGAAAGGAAGCAAGGUUUGUUCACUUCACAGCCUCUAUGUGGAUGACUUCAGGAUCCCAGCACCAACCUGUUUCCCGAGGGCCAGGAUUAUUCGCCUGUCUGCCAGCUAUUGUCACCCGGCAUCUCAAAUGCAACAUUUCUAAAUCAGAUUCACUGUUGGUGAAUUCUGUUCUUCCCACUUAAAACCACUUGGCUCGAGGGAUAAGCUAUCUUCAGUCACCUAGGCUUGCAAGUUCAACCUCCUGCGGUAUCGGUUGCUCAGCCUGGGUUUCUCCCUCCAUUCCCUAUCCCCCUCUCUUGCUGGCCCAUUCUUAGCACCUCCCCGUGGACUACUGCAAUAACUUCCUUCCUCACUGCUCCCUACUUCUUGUGCCUUGAAAUUCUUCACAGCGGCUUCAUUGAUCCUAUUAACUUACAACUCUGCUUCUGUUACUUUCCUGCUAAAAAAAACUUUCUAGGGCUUCUCUCUUCUGUAUCAAAUGAAGGGCCCAUUCCUCAGCCUGGAAUGAAGGCCAUUCUCAAGAUGGGAUCUCCUUAGGGAACGCAUGUCAUUCUCUUCCCAUGUUCUAUGCUUCAGUCAUAAUGAGUAUAAUCUACUUUUUUUGAUCUCUGGGCCUUUCCUGAGAAUCUGUUCCCCGGAAUCUGCAAACUCCCAUUCCCAAAUCCAUCCAUUGCAUCACCAACCUUCCAGGCCACCUUUCCUUCCCUUACUGAGAUGUCAUCAUACUCUGAGGCUUCAUUUGUGGCAUGUGCACAUAGGUACUUACAUGUGUACUUGUGAGUUACCUGCACGCUCGAGUCCCUGGGAUGGGCGCUUCGGCAG